GACGAACGCUGGCGGCGUGCCUAAUACAUGCAAGUAGGACGCAGUUGCGAACGGGUGAGUAACGCGUAGGUAACUACCUAUUAGAGGGGGAUAACUAUUGGAAACGAUAGCUAAUACCGCAUACUAGUAGAUGGACCUGCGUUGUCUUAGCUAGUAGGUAGGGUAAUGGCCUACCUAGGCAACGAUACAUAGCCGACCCGGGAGGGGGGACGGCCAAACUGGGACGUGGAAACGGCCCAGAAUCCCACGGGAGGCAGCAGGAGGGAAUCAUCGGCAAUGGGGGGAACCCUGACCAAGCAAAGGCGCGGGAGGGAAGAAGGUUUUCGGAUCGGAAAGCUCUGUUGUUAAGGAAGCGGUACUUAACCAGAAAGGGACGGCUAACUACGUGCCAGCAGCCGCGGUAAUAC
rnacentral:rRNA from 1 species